AAUGAACGCUGGCGGCGUGCUUAACACAUGCAAGUCGAACGGUGAACGAGGGAGCUUGCUCCCUCCGGAUCAGUGGCGAACGGGUGAGUAACACGUGAGCAAUCUGCCCUGGACUCUGGGAUAAGCGUUGGAAACGACGUCUAAUACCGGAUACGAGGCGUGGGGGCAUCCCCAACGCCUGGAAAGAACUUCGGUCCAGGAUGAGCUCGCGGCCUAUCAGCUAGUUGGUGAGGUAACGGCUCACCAAGGCGACGACGGGUAGCCGGCCUGAGAGGGUGACCGGCCACACUGGGACUGAGACACGGCCCAGACUCCUACGGGAGGCAGCAGUGGGGAAUAUUGCACAAUGGGCGCAAGCCUGAUGCAGCAACGCCGCGUGAGGGACGACGGCCUUCGGGUUGUAAACCUCUUUUAGCAGGGAAGAAGCGAAAGUGACGGUACCUGCAGAAAAAGCACCGGCUGACUCUGUGCCAGCCGCCGCAGUAACAC
rnacentral:rRNA from 1 species